CCUACGGGAGGCAGCAGUGGGGAAUAUUGGACAAUGGGGGGAACCCUGAUCCAGCCAUGCCGCGUGUGUGAAGAAGGCCCUCGGGUUGUAAAGCACUUUCAGUGAGGAAGAACGCCUGGUGGUUAAUACCCAUCAGGAAAGACAUCACUCACAGAAGAAGCACCGGCUAACUCCGUGCCAGCAGCCGCGGUAAUACGGAGGGUGCGAGCGUUAAUCGGAAUUACUGGGCGUAAAGCGCGCGUAGGUGGCUUGAUAAGCCAGUUGUGAAAGCCCCGGGCUCAACCUGGGAACGGCAUCCGGAACUGUCAAGCUAGAGUGCAGGAGAGGAAGGUAGAAUUCCCGGUGUAGCGGUGAAAUGCGUAGAGAUCGGGAGGAAUACCAGUGGCGAAGGCGGCCUUCUGGACUGACACUGACACUGAGGUGCGAAAGCGUGGGUAGCAAACAGGAUUAGAUACCCUUGUAGUC
rnacentral:rRNA from 1 species